rnacentral:rRNA from 1 species
CCUCAAAUCAGGUAGGACUACCCGCUGAACUUAAGCAUAUCAAUAAGCGGAGGAAAAGAAACUAACAAGGAUUCCCCUAGUAACUGCGAGUGAAGCGGGAAAAGCUCAAAUUUAAAAUCUGGUGGUCUUUGGCCAUCCGAGUUGUAAUCUAGAGAAGUGUUACCCGCGUCGGACCGUGUACAAGUCUCCUGGGAUGGAGCGUCAUAGAGGGUGAGAAUCCCGUCUUUGACACGGACUACCGAGGCUUUGUGGUGCGCUCUCAAAGAGUCGAGUUGUUUGGGAAUGCAGCUCAAAAUGGGUGGUAAAUUCCAUCUAAAGCUAAAUAUUGGCGAGAGACCGAUAGCGAACAUGUACCGUGAGGGAAAGAUGAAAAGAACUUUGGAAAGAGAGUUAAACAGUACGUGAAAUUGCUGAAAGGGAAACGCUUGAAGUCAGUCGCGUUGGCCAGAAAUCAGCCUUGCUUUAGUGGGGUGUACUUUCUGGUUGAUGGGCCAGCAUCAGUUUUGACCGGUGGAAAAAGUCGAGAGGAAGGUGGCAUCUUCGGGUGUGUUAUAGCCUCUCGUCGUAUACAUCGGUUGGGACUGAGGAACGCAGUACUUGUACUUCGGAUGCUGGCAUAAU